GCGAGUGUGCUGGAAUUGGUAGACAGGCACGUUUGAGGGGCGUGUGUCGCAAGACGCGUGAGUUCGAAUCUCAUCACUCGCACCA
rnacentral:tRNA from 1 species